ACGGGUGCGUAACGCGUAUGCAAUCUACCUUGUACAGAGAGAUAGCCCAGAGAAAUUUGGAUUAAUACCUCAUAGUAUUCUAAAAUGGCAUCAUUUAAGAAUUAAAGUUUCGGCGGUACAAGAUGAGCAUGCGUCCUAUUAGCUAGAUGGAGAGGUAACGGCUCACCAUGGCAACGAUAGGUAGGGGUUCUGAGAGGAUGAUCCCCCACACUGGUACUGAGACACGGACCAGACUCCUACGGGAGGCAGCAGUGAGGAAUAUUGGUCAAUGGACGCAAGUCUGAACCAGCCAUGCCGCGUGCAGGAUGAAUGCCCUCUGGGUUGUAAACUGCUUUUAUUUGGGAAGAAACCCCCUGUCGUGUAUAGGGGCUGACAGUACCAAAAGAAUAAGCACCGGCUAACUCCGUGCCAGCAGCCGCGGUAAUACGGAGGGUGCAAGCGUUAUCCGGAAUCAUUGGGUUUAAAGGGUCCGCAGGCGGUCUUGUAAGUCAGUGGUGAAAUCCCUCAGCUUAACUGAGGAACUGCCAUUGAUACUGCUAGACUUGAAUUCGGUCAAAGUGGGCGGAAUGUGUCAUGUAGCGGUGAAAUGCAUAGAUAUGACACAGAACACCGAUAGCGAAGGCGCUCUGCUGGGCCAUAACUGACGCUCAUGGACGAAAGCCAGGGGAGCGAAAGGGAUUAGAUACCCCUGUAGUCCUGGCCGUAAACGAUGAACACUAGGUGUCGGGGGAAUCGACCCCCUCGGUGUCGUAGCCAACGCGUUAAGUGUUCCGCCUGGGGAGUACGCACGCAAGUGUGAAACUCAAAGGAAUUGACGGGGGCCCGCACAAGCGGUGGAGUAUGUGGUUUAAUUCGAUGCAACGCGAAGAACCUUACCAGGGUUUGACAUCCUGCGAAUCCCUUGGAAACUAGGGAGUGCCUUCGGGAGCGCAGAGACAGGUGGUGCAUGGCUGUCGUCAGCUCGUGUCGUGAGAUGUUGGGUUAAGUCCCGCAACGAGCGCAACCCACGUCUUUAGUUGCCAGCAUUUAGUUGGGCACUNUAGAGAGACCGCCGGUGAUAAACCGGAGGAAGGUGUGGAUGACGUCAAGUCAUCAUGCCCCUUACAUCCUGGGCUACACACGUACUACAAUGCUACGGACAAAGGGCAGCAAACUCGCGAGAGCUAGCAAAUCCCAUAAACCGUGGCUCAGUUCAGAUCGUAGGCUGCAACUCGCCUACGUGAAGGAGGAAUCGCUAGUAAUCGCAGGUCAGCAUACUGCGGUGAAUACGUUCCCGGGCCUUGUACACACCGCCCGUCACACCAUGGAAGUUGGCCACGCCCGAAGCC
rnacentral:rRNA from 1 species